rnacentral:rRNA from 1 species
AUUGAACGCUGGCGGAAUGCUUUACACAUGCAAGUCGAACGGUAGAGGGGGCAACCCCUUGAGAGUGGCGAACGGGUGAGUAAUAUAUCGGAACGUGCCCAGUCGUGGGGAUAACGUAGCGAAAGUUACGCUAAUACCGCAUACGAUCUAAGGAUGAAAGCGGGGGAUCGCAAGACCUCGCGCGAUUGGAGCGGCCGAUAUCAGAUUAGGUAGUUGGUGAGGUAAUGGCUCACCAAGGCGACGAUCCGUAACUGGUCUGAGAGGAUGAUCAGUCACACUGGAACUGAGACACGGUCCAGACUCCUACGGGAGGCAGCAGUGGGGAAUAUUGGACAAUGGGCGAAAGCCUGAUCCAGCCAUGCCGCGUGCAGGAUGAAGGCC